rnacentral:rRNA from 1 species
UACGUAGGGGGCGAGCGUUGUCCGGAUUUAUUGGGCGUAAAGAGCGUGUAGGCGGCCAGGUAGGUCUGCUGUGAAAACUCGAGGCUCAACCUCGAGACGUCGGCGGAAACCAUCUGGCUAGAGUCCGGAAGAGGAGAGUGGAAUUCCUGGUGUAGCGGUGGAAUGCGCAGAUAUCAGGAGGAAUACCGGUGGCGAAGGCGGCAUCCUGGACCGGCAUUGACGCUGAGGAGCGAAGCCAGGGGAGGCAAACGGG